CAAGAUGAACAAAAACUGAGAGAACAUAUUGUGACUACCCUUGCUUGACACUGAAUGCGAGAGAAACACUACUAGUUGCAUGAAACAUGCAGAGCUAUGAAACUCACUGGCACUACUUGAGAAACAUCUGUCAACAAAAUCGAUGCCGGAAGUACCUUUUCUCCACAUCAGCCAUAUUGGUAUUAUGUACUGGAAAGUUUUAUGCGGAUUUUGAAUUUGUGACCCAUUUGAAAAUCACCAGCAAUCACCUACGCAAGCACACAUGAAAAUAUGCACUCAUCCCACUCCAAACCAAGCCCGUGAUGUCAAUGUCCACCAGUAUUACCAACAGGCAGAUAAGCAGGUUGGGAAAAAAUAGGAAAUCCCUGCUAGAAAUGGAAUAUUUCUUUCAGAACACAGGAUUAAUUUUUGCAGGAUUUAGAAGGCAAUAAUUAAAAAAUGUAUCUAGUAAAGAAAUAAGGAAGGCA
rnacentral:lncRNA from 1 species